rnacentral:rRNA from 1 species
UCGAGGAUCUUCGGCAAUGGACGCAAGUCUGACCGAGCGACGCCGCGUGCGGGAUGAAGGCCUUCGGGUUGUAAACCGCUGUCAGUUGGGAGGAAAUCACAUGGGGUUCUCUCCAUGUGUUGACCUAUCUUCAGAGGAAGGACGGGCUAAGUUCGUGCCAGCAGCCGCGGUAAGACGAACCGUCCUAACGUUAUUCGGAAUUACUGGGCUUAAAGGGUGCGUAGGCGGCCCUGUAAGUUGGGUGUGAAAUCCCUCGGCUCAACCGAGGAAUUGCGCCCAAUACUGCAGGGCUAGAGGAAGAUAGAGGUGAGCGGAACUUGUGGUGGAGCGGUGAAAUGCGUUGAUAUCACAAGGAACACCUGUGGCGAAAGCGGCUCACUGGGUCUUUUCUGACGCUGAGGCACGAAAGCUGGGGGAGCGAACG